rnacentral:rRNA from 1 species
AUGAACGCUAGCUACAGGCUUAACACAUGCAAGUCGAGGGGCAGCAUGGUCUUAGCUUGCUAAGGCCGAUGGCGACCGGCGCACGGGUGAGUAACACGUAUCCAACCUGCCGUCUACUCUUGGACAGCCUUCUGAAAGGAAGAUUAAUACAAGAUGGCAUCAUGAGUCCGCAUGUUCACAUGAUUAAAGGUAUUCCGGUAGACGAUGGGGAUGCGUUCCAUUAGAUAGUAGGCGGGGUAACGGCCCACCUAGUCUUCGAUGGAUAGGGGUUCUGAGAGGAAGGUCCCCCACAUUGGAACUGAGACACGGUCCAAACUCCUACGGGAGGCAGCAGUGAGGAAUAUUGGUCAAUAGGCGAGAGCCUGAACCAGCCAAGUAGCGUGAAGGAUGACUGCCCUAUGGGUUGUAAACUUCUUUUAUAAAGGAAUAAAGUCGGGUAUGCAUACCCGUUUGCAUGUACUUUAUGAAUAAGGAUCGGCUAACUCCGUGCCAGCAGCCGCGGUAAUACGGAGGAUCCGAGCGUUAUCCGGAUUUAUUGGGUUUAAAGGGAGCGUAGAUGGAUGUUUAAGUCAGUUGUGAAAGUUUGCGGCUCAACCGUAAAAUUGCAGUUGAUACUGGAUAUCUUGAGUGCAGUUGAGGCAGGCGGAAUUCGUGGUGUAGCGGUGAAAUGCUUAGAUAUCACGAAGAACUCCGAUUGCGAAGGCAGCCUGCUAAGCUGCAACUGACAUUGAGGCUCGAAAGUGUGGGUAUCAAACAGGAUUAGAUACCCUGGUAGUCCACACGGUAAACGAUGAAUACUCGCUGUUUGCGAUAUACGGCAAGCGGCCAAGCGAAAGCGUUAAGUAUUCCACCUGGGGAGUACGCCGGCAACGGUGAAACUCAAAGGAAUUGACGGGGGCCCGCACAAGCGGAGGAACAUGUGGUUUAAUUCGAUGAUACGCGAGGAACCUUACCCGGGCUUAAAUUGCAGAUGAAUUACGGUGAAAGCCGUAAGCCGCAAGGCAUCUGUGAAGGUGCUGCAUGGUUGUCGUCAGCUCGUGCCGUGAGGUGUCGGCUUAAGUGCCAUAACGAGCGCAACCCUUGUUGUCAGUUACUAACAGGUUCCGCUGAGGACUCUGACAAGACUGCCAUCGUAAGAUGUGAGGAAGGUGGGGAUGACGUCAAAUCAGCACGGCCCUUACGUCCGGGGCUACACACGUGUUACAAUGGGGGGUACAGAGGGCCGCUACCACGCGAGUGGAUGCCAAUCCCCAAAACCUCUCUCAGUUCGGACUGGAGUCUGCAACCCGACUCCACGAAGCUGGAUUCGCUAGUAAUCGCGCAUCAGCCACGGCGCGGUGAAUACGUUCCCGGGCCUUGUACACACCGCCCGUCAAGCCAUGGGAGCCGGGGGUGCCUGAAGUGCGUAACCGCGAGGAGCGCCCUAGGGUAAAACUGGUGACUGGGGCU